rnacentral:rRNA from 1 species
UAUGGAGGGUGCAAGCGUUGUUCGGAAUUACUGGGCGUAAAGGGCGCGUAGGUGGUUAUGCAAGUCAGAUGUGAAAUCCUUCGGCUCAACUGAAGAACUGCAUCUGAAACUGCAUAACUAGAGUACAGGAGAGGGAAACGGAAUUCCCGGUGUAGAGGUGAAAUUCGUAGAUAUCGGGAGGAACACCUGUGGCGAAGGCGGUUUCCUGGCCUGAUACUGACAGUGAGUCGCGAAAGCGUGGGGAGCAAACAGG